UGCAGUCGAACGGGCUCUUCGGAGCUAGUGGCGGACGGGUGAGUAACGCGUGAGAAUCUGCCUUCAGGUUGGGGACAACAGUUGGAAACGACUGCUAAUACCCAAUGUGCCGAGAGGUGAAAGCUUUAGUGCCUGAAGAUGAGCUCGCGUCUGAUUAGCUAGUUGGUGGGGUAAUGGCCUACCAAGGCGACGAUCAGUAGCUGGUCUGAGAGGAUGAUCAGCCACACUGGGACUGAGACACGGCCCAGACUCCUACGGGAGGCAGCAGUGGGGAAUUUUCCGCAAUGGGCGCAAGCCUGACGGAGCAAGACCGCGUGAGGGAGGAAGGCUCUUGGGUUGUAAACCUCUUUUAUCAGGGAAGAAGUUCUGACGGUACCUGAUGAAUCAGCAUCGGCUAACUCCGUGCCAGCAGCCGCGGUAAUACGGAGGAUGCAAGCGUUAUCCGGAUUUAUUGGGCGUAAAGCGUCCGCAGGUGGUUGUUCAAGUCUGCUGUUAAAGCGCGAGGCUUAACCUUGUACAGGCAGUGGAAACUGGACGACUUGAGUAUGGUAGGGGUAGCGGGAAUUCCCAGUGUAGCGGUGAAAUGCGUAGAUAUUGGGAAGAACACCAGCGGCGAAAGCGCGCUACUGGGCCAUAACUGACACUCAUGGACGAAAGCUAGGGGAGCGAAAGGGAUUAGAUACCCCUGUAGUCCUAGCUGUAAACGAUGGGUACUAGGUGUUGACCGUAUCGACCCGGUCAGUGCCGUAGCUAACGCGUUAAGUACCCCGCCUGGGGAGUAUGCACGCAAGUGUGAAACUCAAAGGAAUUGACGGGGGCCCGCACAAGCGGUGGAGUAUGUGGUUUAUUCGAUGCACGCGAAAACCUUACCAGGGCUUGA
rnacentral:rRNA from 1 species